rnacentral:rRNA from 1 species
UNUGACUUGAGUGCAGAAGGGGAGAGUGGAAUUCCANGUGUAGCGGUGAAAUGCGUAGAUAUAUGGAGGANCACCAGUGGCGAAAGCGGCUCUCUGGUCUGUCACUGACGCUGAGGCUNGAAAGCGUGGGUAGCGAACAGGAUUAGAUACCCUGGUAGUNCACGCCGUAAACGAUGAGUGCUAGGUGUUAGGCCCUUUCCGGGGCUUAGUGCCGGAGCUAACGCAAUAAGCACUCCGCCUGGGGAGUACGACCGCAAGGUUGAAACUCAAAGGAAUUGACGGGGGCCCGCACAAGCGGUGGAGCAUGUGGUUUAAUUCGAAGCAACGCGAAGAACCUUACCAGGUCUUGACAUCCCGAUGCUAUUCUUAGAGAUAGGAAGUUACUUCGGUACAUCGGAGACAGGUGGUGCAUGGUUGUCGUCAGCUCGUGUCGUGAGAUGUUGGGUUAAGUCCCGCAACGAGCGCAACCCUUAUUGUUAGUUGCCAUCAUUAAGUUGGGCACUCUAGCGAGACUGCCGGUAAUAAACCGGAGGAAGGUGGGGAUGACGUCAAAUCAUCAUGCCCCUUAUGACCUGGGCUACACACGUGCUACAAUGGUCGGUACAAUGAGUUGCGAGCCGGUGACGGCAAGCUAAUCUCUGAAAGCCGAUCUCAGUUCGGAUUGGAGGCUGCAACUCGCCUCCAUGAAGUCGGAAUCGCUAGUAAUCGCGGAUCAGCACGCCGCGGUGAAUACGUUCCCGGGCCUUGUACACACCGCCCGUCACACCACGAGAGUUUGUAACACCCGAAGUCGGUGAGGUAACCUUUUAGGGGCCAGCCGCCUAAGGUGGGANG